rnacentral:rRNA from 1 species
CUGAACCAGCCAAGUAGCGUGAAGGAUGACUGCCCUAUGGGUUGUAAACUUCUUUUAUAAGGGAAUAAAGUGGAGUAUGUAUACUCUUUUGUAUGUACCUUAUGAAUAAGGAUCGGCUAACUCCGUGCCAGCAGCCGCGGUAAUA